AGCGAACGCUGGCGGCAGGCCUAACACAUGCAAGUCGAACGGACCCUUCGGGGUUAGUGGCGGACGGGUGAGUAACACGUGGGAACGUGCCUUUAGGUUCGGAAUAGCUCCUGGAAACGGGUGGUAAUGCCGAAUGUGCCCUUCGGGGGAAAGAUUUAUCCCCUUUAGAGCGGCCCGCGUCUGAUGAGCUAGUUGGUUAGGUAAUGGUUCACCAAGGCGCCGAUCAGUAGCUGGUCUGAGAGGAUGACCGGCCACAUUGGGACUGAUACACGGCCCAAACUCCUACGGGAGGCAGCAGUGGGGAAUCUUGCGCAAUGGGCGAAAGCCUGACGCAGCCAUGCCGCGUGGAUGAUGAGGGUCUUAGGAUUGUAAAAUCCUUUCACCGGUGAAGAUAAUGACUGUAGCCGGAGAAGAAGCCCCGGCUAACUUCGUGCCAGCAGCCGCCGUAACAC
rnacentral:rRNA from 1 species